UAAAAAGUACCCUACAUACAAACAAAUACAAAAUUUGUACACAAAAUUUUUGAAAACUUUAAUAAAUUUAAAAAUUAUAAUCAUAAAGAAUUUAUCAUGAAAUUUAUUUUAAUUUUAUUAUUCACAUGUACUGCUAGUAUUUCAUGCAAAGACGAACCUAAAGUUCAAAUUGGCAUAAAAAGAAGAGUUGAUUGUAAUGAUAGUUCAAAAACAAGAAGAGGAGACUUUGUACAUGUUCACUAUAAGGGAACCCUGCAAAAAGAUGGCAUUGAAUUUGAUUCUAGUUAUCCAAGAGGUAAUGCGUUCACAUUUACAUUGGGUAGCAAUCAAGUGAUUAAAGGUUGGGACCAAGGUUUACUCGGAAUGUGUGAAGGCGAAAAACGACGGCUAGUUAUACCGCCAGAAUUGGGAUAUGGUAAAUCAGGUAGUGGGAGCAAAAUUCCGCCAGAUUCGACAUUAAUAUUUGAAGUAGAGCUACUUAAAAUAGAGAAGCGUCAAGAACUUUAAAUUUAAAGUUAAAGCUUGUGUAGAAGCAAAAAUUUCACAUUAUAUGCCAUAAAAUAUUAAAAACAAGAAAUUAAAGUUAUUGCCGCUCUUUUAUAUGGUUUAAGUUCAUCUGUUCCAAAACCUGGUAUCCACAUAUUCCAUUUUCUUUCUAGAUGUAGUUGAACGUCUUUUACUUCAAUCUUUGAAUUUUUUCUGUGUUUCGCAUAU